UUGGGUUAAAUUGAUGAAAUUGGCUUGUUCAAUUGAUGUAUUUGGUCAGUUUGGGUUUUGUGAUCAAUUGGUUAGAGAAACUGUGAAAGAGCUCCUGAAAGUGGGUUUUGAUUUAUUUGUUUUUUGUUUUUGCUAAAGCAAGGACAUUCAUGGGAUCCAGCCCAUCUUUUUGCCAUAAAUAAGGUGUAUUUUACGUCAGGCUUUUGGAAAUGAUGGGUGGUACUUCUUUGAAAGUGAUUCGCUCAAGUUCUAGUUGACGCCCUUCUUGAAAAAGAACAAAAAUGGUGAGCAAGGGGAGAGACGGCUAGGAUUGAAGCCCAAAUUAGAGACGCUGAAGCUGCCUUACGAAGGAAGGAAGAGGCUGAGUGUAAGCAGCAGCGGGAGAGAGAAAGGGAAGCUGCUCGAGUUGCCUUGCAGAAGAUGGAAAAAACUGUUGAUUUUGAGGAGAAUAUGGUGAUCCAAAAAGAACUUGAGAUGUUAUUUGGCUGUUCAACAUCAUCUCGUCUGCUCCAUGGAUCUUUAAGUCGAACCCAAUUAGAACAGUUAGGGUUAUUUAUCAAAGACGACGAUGACAAUGAAGAGGGACUUGAUUUUGAUGGGGAAGAAGGGGAAAUUUUUUCGUGACAUCCGACUCCUCUAUCUAUUCAACAAUUGUAUAUAGUUCCUUUUUCCAGCUCUGCUUGUUUAUAGCAUCAUAGUGGAUGGAAAAGGGGCAUUGGUUGUAAAUGACUAUUUUUUUAGGGGGUGAUACCCUCCUGAUAGGGAACUAAUAGAAAGUUAGUGUUUACAAAGUAUAUAAA